rnacentral:rRNA from 1 species
UGUAAGCGUAUACCAAAGUUGUUGCAGUUAAAACGCUCGUAGUCGGAAUUUGGCAGUUCCGGAUGUGUGCACGGCGUGUGCGCACUUCGCGGGGAUUGCUUUUGUGGUCUUGCGUAGGAUGAGGCACUUUUAUUAGUGAACGUCCUCACGCAACCACUUUUUACUGUGAGAAAAUCAGAGUGCUCAAAGCAGGCAUUUGCCGUGAAUGUAUUAGCAUGGAAUAAUAGAAUAGGACUUGGUUCUAUUUUGUUGGUUUGUUGGGACUGAGUAAUGAUUAAGAGGGACAGUUGGGGGCAUUUGUAUUUCGGUGCUAGAGGUGAAAUUCUUAGAUUACCGAAAGACAAACUGCUGCGAAAGCGUCUGCCAAGGAUGUUUUCAUUGA